rnacentral:rRNA from 1 species
AGUGAACGCUGGCGGUAGGCCUAACACAUGCAAGUCGAACGGCAGCACAGUAAGAGCUUGCUCUUACGGGUGGCGAGUGGCGGACGGGUGAGGAAUACAUCGGAAUCUACUUUUUCGUGGGGGAUAACGUGGGGAAACUUACGCUAAUACCGCAUACGACCUACGGGUGAAAGCAGGGGAUCUUCGGACCUUGCGCGAUUGAAUGAGCCGAUGUCGGAUUAGCUAGUUGGCGGGGUAAAGGCCCACCAAGGCGACGAUCCGUAGCUGGUCUGAGAGGAUGACCAAGACACAUGGAAAGAAGAACAGGCCCAGCACCGUAAGGGAGGCAAAGUUGGGGAAAUUUGGAAAAGGGGCGGAAGCCUUUUCCAGCCAUACCGGGUGGGGAAAAAAGGCCUUCGGGUUGUAAAGCCCUUUUGUUGGGAAAAAAAAGCAGGAGGUUAAAACCCCGCUUUUCGGAAGGAACCCAAAAAAAAAGCACCGGCAAACUUCGU